UUUGUGGUUCUACAAAUGGCACAAGACUCAAUACUCAUCCAGACAGGUGUACAAACACAUCAUGGGGAAUUAUGUUAGCCACUGCAUCUUUAAGUGGUUGUGGAAAUGUGCAAGUAGAAUAAAUCACAAGAUUUAACCCUAAGGCACAAAUCAAUGUCCAAGUGCAUACAUCAGAACACGUGUAAGAACCAAAAUAAGGGAAAUUGAUCGAUCUACUCUUUCUUCACUCACAGAGACAAAAUCAUGAAUAUUUGGUACAAGUUCGAGGUAGAUCGGAGGUAAGAUACCCCGACUUAGCAGUACAGAGUCUAGGGUUCUAAGCUAAGCUAUGAAUUGGGGAAAAUAUCGACUUAUCCCGAGGCUUCUUGAGCUACAGGUUAUAAGGACGGAGAGCCAGCUCAGCGGCUGUUACUGUUGUAACAGUUACAAAACAGUGGUUGCGUUUAGUCUGGUAGGAGACGCGAGGAUUCAUCCGAGCCGUCGAUCUUCUUGCACCUGAGCCGUUGGAUAGCUGAAACUUCUGCUUCUGUCUUCUCUUCAGUAGUACCUUGGUUCUGGUCCUGACAAUGCCGCCGCCAUGACGAGCGCCUUGUCCUCAAGGCGAAACAGCUUGUGUCCUGGGAACGUUUUGUUGAGAAAAGCUGCGUCUUCCCAUGUUGCAUCAUCCGGAGCCAAACUUUCCCAUUGCACUAGGCACUGCCCUACCGGGUUCUUGUUCCUCUGUAUAACACGCCUGUCUAGAACUGCCACUGGGAUUGUUUUAAUGUAGCCCUCCGGAGUGACCAGUGGUACAUGUGGGAGAGGAACUGCUUGAUGGCCAAUAUGCUUCUUUAGUUGACUGAUGUGGAAUACUGGAUGUAUGUUAGAUCCUUCAGGCAACAGAAGUUUAUAAGAUACCUCUCCAAUCUUCUCUAUGAUCUUGUAUGGCCCAUAGAACUUUGAUCUGAGCUUCAACGAUCCCCUCAGCCCAAAAGUAUUUUGUCUGUAAGGUUGGAUUUUCAGAUACACAUUGUCUCCCACCUGGAAGGCUCUUUCAGUUCUAUUUUGGUUAGCAAAAUGUUUAAUUCUGCUUUGAGCAUGUUCCAGGUUUGCUUUCAGCCGCUGGAUCAUGUGCUCUCUUUCAGAUAUAGUGAGUGCUGCUUCAGGAGAGAGAGAUGCAUCCACUGCAAACUCACCAAUCUGUGGAGGUUUGUACCCAUAGAGUGCUUGAAAAGGAGUGCAUUUUAGUGAAGAAUGGUAGCUUGUGUUGUACCAGAGCUCAGCUAGAGGUAGCCACUUGAUCCACUUCUUAGGUUCUUGGAAAACCAUGCCUCGGAGGUAAGCUUCUAAGCACUGAUUCACUCGCUCCGUUUGCCCAUCUGUUUGUGGGUGAGAGGCUGUGCUGAACCUGAUCUUCACUCCAAAAGCUGCAAAUAAUUCCUGAUAUAAUUUGCUUGUAAAGAUGGUGUCCCUGUCAGAGAUGAUACAGAUAGGAAGACCAUGUAGCUUCACCACAUUAUCCACGAGUGCUUCAAAUACAAUCUGUACUGUAAAUGGAUGAGCUAGAGGAAUGAAAUGAGAAUACUUGGUGAAACGAUCGACCACCACCAGUAUGACCUCUUUCCCUUGUGAUUUGGGUAAGGCAGUGAUGAAAUCCAUGGUGAUAUGAGCCCAAGCCAUGUCUGGUACAGGUAGUGGUUGUAAUAGGCCAGGUGGAUGUAUAUGUUCCACUUUGUUCAGUUGACACACAGGGCAUUGUGACACAAACUGUUCUAUGUCCUUUCUCAUGUUUGGCCAGUAGAACACUCUUUUAAGUCUGUAGUAUGUAGCUUUAAUUCCAGAGUGGCCUCCUAGAGCAGAAGUAUGGAAUGUUUGUAACAAUUGGUGCCUGAAAUUGUUGCUAGCUCCUACAUAGAUUCUGUUGUUGUAUUUAAUGAGAUCAUUUUGAACAGCAAACUUGGGAGUUGGUCCUGUAUCAGCAGCUACCUUCUUUAACAAGUUUGCACUGUCCUGAUCUUGUUGGUAGCUCUUUUUAACAUCUUCAGUCCAUGUUGGGACUAGCACAGUCAUGCUGGAGCAACAAGAGCUGCUAGGAAAUCCUUUCCUGGACAAAGCAUCAGCUACUACAUUCUCUUUCCCUUUCUUGUAUUCUAUGGUAUAAUCAUAUUCCAACAGUUUUAGUAGCAGCUUGUGUUGGACUCCUUCUGUCAACCUUUGAGUUGUCAUGUACUUAAGAGAGUGUUGGUCUGUCUUAAUUAUUAAGGAAUUUCCCCAGAUAUAAUGCCUCCACUUUUUGAGAGCUUCCAAUAUAGCCAUAGCUUCUUUUUCAUAAAUAGAUUGAGCAGCAGAUUUGGGUCCUAAACUUCUGCUGAGAAAAGCAAGUGGCCUUCCUUUCUGCAUGAGUACUGCUCCAAGCCCUGUUGCACAUGCAUCAGCUUCAAUGGUGAAGGGCAGAGAAAAAUCUGGCAUUGCUAAAACUGGGCAGCUUGUCAUUGUCUGUUUCAACAGCUGAAAGGCUUGCUUUUGUGUAGUACCCCACUGAAAUGCAUCUUUCUUCAGCAUAUCAUGUAGUGGUCUGCAGAUUUGCCCAUAGUUCUUUACAAACCUUCUGUAAUACCCAGUUAAGCCCAAAAAUCCUCUUAGUUGGGACACAUUUUCAGGUUCCUCCCAGUCCAAAACUGCUUGGAUUUUUCCAGGGUCUGUUGCUACUCCUUCAGCUGAAAUGAUGUGUCCUAGAUAUGCUACUUGAUCAGUAGCAAAAGUACAUUUUGACAGCUUGGCAUAUAACUGAUGUUUUCUUAGUGCUGUAAGAGUCUUUUCGACAUGUCUGAUGUGGUCUUCCCUUGAUUUACUGAAAAUCAACAUAUCAUCAAAGAAGACCAAUAGAAACUUGGGUUUUUCUGUUUCAUUAACUUCCUCAGCUACUUUGUUCAUGAGUCCCUGAAAUGUGCCUGGGCCACAUGAUAACCCAAAAGGAACUACUGUAUACUCAUAGUGGCCCAUGUGAGUUCUAAACGCUGUUUUGUGGAUAUCUUCAGGAGCCAUUCGAAUUUGAUGGUACCCUGAUCUCAGAUCUAGUUUGGAGAAUAUUCUUGCUCCAUGCAUUUCAUCCAACAAAUCUUCAAUUAUUGGCAUUGGAAACUUGUUCUUAACAGUCACAGCAUUUAGUUCUCUGUAAUCCACACAUAAUCUCCAACCCCCAUCUUUCUUUCUGACCAUGAUAGCUGGAGAGGAAAAAGGACUGAAACUUUCUUGGAUUUCUCCUUUUUUAAUGAGCUGCUUUAUAAUCUCCUCCAUAGCAGCUUUCUGGUAAUGUGGAACUCUGUAGGGUCUUAGGUUUGGAGGUUUUGCUCCUUCUUGCAGAAUGAUUCUGUGAUCACAAUCCCUUUUUGGGGGCAGUUUUUGUGAUUCUUCAAACACAUCUGCAAAAGUAUGUAACAAAGGUUGUAGUGCUCUGGGAGGAGGUUGAGGAUUUUUGUUUUGUUCUGUCUCAAUCUCCUGUACUUGUAGGAUAUAUCCCAUUACUCCCUUUUGUAAUAACUUCUCCAUUUUUGCUGCUGAUACAAUACACUUCUUCUUGGGAAUUGUAUAGUCAAACAAGGUCACUGGCUGUCCUUGUUUGGUUACAAUUAAAAUCCUUUCCACCAAGUUCAAACAGAUUGGACUAUAUUGAUAUAUCCAAUCUGCUCCUAUGAUAAUGUCAUAAGAAGCAAGGUCUAACACUUUGAAACUACUGCUGAAGGUGUGGCCCUGAAUUUUAAAACUUAACUCUGGCACUUUGGAUAGUGACAACAGUUGCCCUCCUCCUGCUACAGUCACUUUCCUUGGUUGCAUUGGUUGCUGGUAACAAUUGCCUUUAAUUGCAAACUCUUUGCUCAUAAAGGUAUCUGAAGAGCCACUGUCAAACAAUGCUGUAGCUUUCUUUCCAGCAAUUUCCACAAUGAGAGAAAAAGUAUUUGGUCCUGUAGUCCCCUCUGCAGCAUUUCCAGAGAUAUGCAUAGCUUGUGAAGCUUUUGGUAUGCUGCUCUCAGGAUUUUUCUCUUUAUCUGGUGUGUUUGGGGCUGUAUGAUAAGCUUGUUCAGUAACCUGUACCUCUUCAGUGUCAUCACUAUCAGCUUCAUCAUCUACUUCUUGUAGUAUGUGCAGAGUUUUCCCAAUUUUGCAUUUAUGCUGUCUUGACCAAGGUUCUCUACAGUACCAACAUGCUCUUGCAUCUUUAGGAAAAGGUACUGAGUACUUUUCCUGAUUAGGAACUUGCACUUGUAGUGGAGGGUUUGGCUGUCUGGCAUUGUUUGAAUAUGAUCUUGAUUUAUAUCCUGAAUAAGAAGACACUUUUCUUGCUGCUGCAGCUUUCUCAUACACUUUGGCAUACCAAUAAGCUUCAAUAAUGCCUGUUGGUUUUUGUCCACAAACCUCGUGUUUGAUGUCAGCUUUUAAUCCUCCAAUAAAACAGCUGAGUAAAAAAAAUUCCUGCAAACAAGGGUGAUCUCUCUUAACCAGUGCCACACAGUGCUCAAAUUCAUCUAUAUACUGAGCAACUGUUGUGUGUUGUUGUAUAUUCUUGAGGAGUUCCACUGCUUCAUGCACACUUGCUUCAGAGAACCUGUCAGCUAUCAUCUGGCAAAAUUGUUGCCAUGUGAUCAUCUGCCAUGGAACACAAAUGUUCUUUAACCAGUUGGAUGCUCUCCCUUGCAAAUGACCUGUAGCCAAAUUGACCCACUGAUCAUAGGGAGUGCCAGACAUGUCGUAGAACUUUUCACAAGCAAUUAACCAUCCAAUUGGAUCUUCCCCACUAAACAGUGGUGUUUCCAACCUAGGUCCUUUUAACACAGCUUCAGCAAAAUAAGAAGGUCCUCCCAGCUGAGUGGCAUGCUGAUUUCUCUGAGCAUCAUAUAAGUUGCCCACUGCUUGGUAUACUGGUGGUUGAGAGCACCCAGAAGUUGACAUGUUGAUGUACUGUCCUGUGAUAGGAUUGUAUGUUGGAAUUGGGUUGUACAGUGGGGCAUUUAUGGGAGCAAAAUAUCCACUAUUACCAGAAUAUCCCAAGGUAUGUGCCUGAACUGCUACGCUUGUACUUUCUGGAGUUUAACCUGAAUUGUUGCUGUCCCUGUACUUCCUGUUGUUUCUCUGUGUGUACUCUUGUGCUCUCUGUGAACAGUUUUGUGUGAGGUAUACCAGCUGCUACUUCUGAUAGUUUGCUCAUUGGAACACUUGCUUUGCUGUUGAAUUCGUGAUGCAAGUUUCUGUUCACUGGCUGUUGAUCCUCACUUGCUGUAUCUGAUAUAGGGAUGACAGGAGAUAUACUGGCCCUCGCUGUCCCUGUACACACUGGUGGUGGAACAGUUGGUACACUACCUCUGUUUUCUGAAUUCCCAAAGACAGUUUCUGAAGAAUUUGCUGUAGUGUUUGCUGAAUCUCUGAAUUCAUAUCAGACAGCUUGGCCUCCACUUUAGGCAUUGUCACCAUCUCUGCCCGCAACUGGUUUACUUCCUGUCGAAGAUCUUGGAGUCCUGCUAUGUCAGCCCGCAGAUCGGCCACUUCUUUCUCCACUCUGUCAACGGUGAUCUGCACCUUCGCUCUUGUGUCUGCCAUGGUUUUGACCUGUUACCGACGCCUGCCGAUUCGAAUCACCUCCUGCGACUCCUUGACGCACGGAUCCCUGCAGAGACCGGAAUUUUACCACCAGGAGAAUUUCUCCUAGCAACCGUCUCGGACUCAAGGAUCUGCGCCCGAAUUUCACCGCCGCUGCGUCGCCGCCACCGGAACACACCGCCGCCGCGAACAGGGAGGGACGGGAGGGAUUUUACGAGAGAUCCCAACCUCCUGCUCUCCGCUGCUCGAAUCGCCGCCGUCCUCCUUCGCCGAGGACAAACCUGUUGCUCUGGAUACCUUUGUAAGAACCAAAAUAAGGGAAAUUGAUCGAUCUACUCUUUCUUCACUCACAGAGACAAAAUCAUGAAUAUUUGGUACAAGUUCGAGGUAGAUCGGAGGUAAGAUACCCCGACUUAGCAGUACAGAGUCUAGGGUUCUAAGCUAAGCUAUGAAUUGGGGAAAAUAUCGACUUAUCCGAGGCUUCUCGAGCUACAGGUUAUAAGGACGGAGAGCCAGCUCAGCGGCUGUUACUGUUGUAACGGUUACAAAACAGUGGUUGCGUUUAGUCUGGUAGGAGCCGCGAGGAUUCAUCCGAGC
rnacentral:lncRNA from 1 species